CGUCUUCUUCGAUCGGUGCAAGAAGAAGCAAAAAGUCGGUUAUCUUGUUCUUCUGUAUUCCCGUUGAAAUCCCUCAGCAUUUGCAAGCAACAGAGGCGAAAGAUUGAAGUUAAGAGUUUACUGAAGCUUUUAAUUGGUGUAGAGGGAGCUGUAUUGUACUAAAAAGAUCCCAAGAAGAGAACGAGACUUGUGGCAUGUCGUCACUUAGCUCAGUCUUCAAAUUCCAGCACAUUUUUAUGACAAGGCCGCCGUAUAACUCAUGCAAACGACCCCGCCUGGAAAAUCUACUGUAUCCAAAGUUCAUAUCGAUGGAAGAUCCGUCACAGAUUACUCAGCAUCCUUCUUCCUCCAAACAUCAAGUCUUUGCCAGUUUUUAUUGAAAUAUUAUUUUCAACAUCCCAGCCCUGGGCUUCAGUAAUCAGAUUUGUAGCAAGUACAUCAGUAAUACGCAAGAGUGAGUGUAGCUCAUCUGUGACAACAUGAUCUAGACUGAUGUCCAGCAAGGGUCCACUGAUACAUCCAAAGUUGUAUUUUACACCAAGCACAAGAAUAAUUUCCUGUGCCAUUGUUUAGUCAAAGGAUAAGAAGGAUGUAUUUAUAAUCUGCUCCCAGGAAAUGUUUAGUUUUAUAAUUCUCCUCUCCAACUGUAGUUUCUUUAAUCAUACUAUUUAAUUCAUUAAAAUAACUCCAAAUGA